ensembl:ribozyme RNaseP_nuc Nuclear RNase P
GUGGAGGGAAGCUCAGUGCUGAGGCUACAGACAGAGUGUAGGGGUCACUCUAUGUGCCUCAGGGAAGGUCUGAGACUGGAGCUCCUAGUUGCCCCUGCAGGGCAUCCCUUGGAUGAAGGGGGUGGUUUCCCAGAGAACUUGGCUCUGAUUGCCCAGUGAGUGCAAAAGAUGCAGCAAGUACCCAAUGUUGUGCUUCUGCAGAUGCAAAGGCAUCAGGCUUGGCACUGCCCCACAGCUGGCACAUUCAAGCUCAAUGGCUGAGAGGGAACUGCCUGUGGUUUCCCAACCCAAUUCAGACUACUCUCCCUCCAC